ACAGGAAUAGAGAAAGAUAAAAGCCCCAAAGCCAAAGAUGGAUGGGAUAAUUUAAGGUGCAGGGAAUAUAGCUCAACGGCAGAACACUCACCUAGUAUGCACAGCGCCCUAGGUUCAGUCAUGAAAGAAGAAAGGAGAAAACAAUGCACCACCACGUACGUCAAUUUAUGAUCUUGGAGGUCAGAAGUCUUGGUGAAAGCCUAGGAAUGACCCAACUGCAGCCUCAAGGAUUUUUCACCAGAAGAGAUGUCGUGAGAAUCACAGUUCCCAAGAUCCAGCUGCAGUUUUCCUUGGUUACCUCGAAACUAACUCCCUGCCCAGCAUAAUCACUGCUUUGUUUAGUUACACCUCUGCCCUCUGUUGCUGUCAUCACAUUGUCAUGCCCCUGACUCUUCGUCCUCCUUCUCUCCACCAUGAGAGUCCCAGUGAUUCUAUAAGACCGACUCGGGAUGAACCAUGACCUCCUUCCAA